UACGUAGGGUGCGAGCGUUAAUCGGAAUUACUGGGCGUAAAGCGUGCGCAGGCGGUUUGUUAAGCCAGAUGUGAAAGCCCCGGGCUCAACCUGGGAACUGCGUUUGGUACUGGCAAGCUAGAGUACGGCAGAGGGGGGUGGAAUUCCACGUGUAGCAGUGAAAUGCGUAGAGAUGUGGAGGAACACCGAUGGCGAAGGCAGCCCCCUGGGCCGAUACUGACGCUCAGGCACGAAAGCGUGGGGAGCAAACAGG
rnacentral:rRNA from 1 species